ACCUGGCUGGCUCAGUUGGUAGAGCACGAGACUCUUGAUCUCGGGGUCAUGAAUUCGAGCCCCACGUUGGGUG
rnacentral:tRNA from 1 species